UGCUAAAACUCUCUGUAGUUGCCAUGAGC
rnacentral:piRNA from 1 species